rnacentral:rRNA from 1 species
GACGAACGCUGGCGGCGUGCUUAACACAUGCAAGUCGAACGGAAAGGCCUCUUUCGGGGGGUACUCGAGUGGCGAACGGGUGAGUAACACGUGAGUAACCUGCCCUUGACUUUGGGAUAACUUCAGGAAACUGGGGCUAAUACCGGAUAGGAGCUCCUGCUGCAUGGUGGGGGUUGGAAAGUUUCGGCGGUUGGGGAUGGACUCGCGGCUUAUCAGCUUGUUGGUGGGGUAGUGGCUUACCAAGGCUUUGACGGGUAGCCGGCCUGAGAGGGUGACCGGCCACAUUGGGACUGAGAUACGGCCCAGACUCCUACGGGAGGCAGCAGUGGGGAAUAUUGGACAAUGGGUGGAAGCCUGAUGCAGCAACGCCGUGUGCGGGAUGACGGCCUUCGGGUUGUAAACCGCUUUCGCUCAUGACGAAGCUUUGUGUGACGGUAGUGGGUAAAGAAGCACCGGCUAACUACGUG